AUGGAGUCAAAACAGCGAGUUGGUGCCCGUGGCGGCAGAAAUGUGACCCCGCCCCCCAGUCACGCGGCGAGCAGCUGGUGCCAUGGUGACAGCUCGGAGAACUCGGAAACCAGAAACCCGCCAGUCGACCCGGCACUCGGAACGUCGGGAAGUGGUUUUCCUUUCAGAGGGACUCGUUUUUUUCCUGAGGAACGAUCCGGAAUUCCUUCUGAACCCCCAGAACAUCGGGAUGGUGGACCGGGCCGGACCCUGCCCCCUGACCCGGGUCCUGACAUUCCAACCAGAGCAGCUGCUCUCAGACCUUCUCCCGCCUCCGUUAGCUCCGCCCCCUCCACGUACUCACGAUAUCACGAUGGCGGCGGUCCGGACCUAAAUAACCCGGCUGCCCCCCCCAGGAGCCGAGACGGAUUGGGAGACAGAACCGGAUCCUGUUUCAGUCCAACAUUCGCCUCCAGAACUCCGAAACGACCCAAAGUCGGUGCCAGACCCAACUUGGCUGAACGAGGCGGCCCGGACGCGUCCUGCUGAGGUGGCGCUCACGCUCACAUGCACGCUCACGUGCACGCCCACGUGCACGCCCACGUGCACGCUCACGUGCAGGUUUUACACCCCAAAUCUGUCCGAUCCUACAACAAUCGCGCCUCAAACGUGCGUUACCAUGACGCUAAAGCUAGCGGCGGUGAAAGAUGGCGCCGCCGCCGCGGCGGGACAGUUUAAUUUCAGGCUCCGUCGACCACGAGCGCGAGCGUGGCGGCGCUGAAGCUAUUAGUCCCCGGGUCAAUGUGGCGAGCGCGUUACCGCGACGACUCCAUUACUGCGCUUCAGUAACACCCUGCCUGUGGGGGGGGGGGGGGGGCAGCUUUGAUUUGUAGCGCUGCUAACGCAGGACGAGCGUAAUCGCUCAGCGGCGAGCUGGUGCCAGAGACGCCGUCUCUCCGGUUCUGGACUCGCUCUUGGCGGCGGUUCAGCUCCGGACACUUAAAGCUGCCAGCAAAUCCGGGCGGGCAGCUGGUGAAACCCGAUCUCCAUCCAAUCAACGCCAGGUUCUCGCCCCGCCGUCCCCGGGGACCGAUUCCGAUCCUCCCGGCCCGGCGCGGCGGCGGCGUCUGCUUUAGCUUUAGCUCGCCGCAGACGGUCGUGAAUUCAGAGGCGCUAAAGAAGCUGUUUGUGCUUCUGAAUUAGCAAAGACGACGUUUGACUGAAAGAACAAAGGAACGUUUUCAUUGAUGUUUCCUUUCGUGGCCGUUAAAGGAGGAAUCGCCGCCGCCGCAGGAACGAUCUGGCUAAAACGACUCGUUUGCUGUUGGAAAAACUGCUCAUUUUUCCGGCCAAGUCGCCUGAAACGAUGCUGCUGGUGUCCGUAGAUACGGAUCCACCGCUAACGUUCAGUUAGCAUACGUCAGUCUGACGCUAACAAUACCCGCGCAUGCUAAGGAAGGCUCACGGUAACUGACGAUACUGGCCAACGCUUAGCGUCCAGACGCUCUUUUUGGGUCAUGUGACCCUGUGGCUCCGCUAGCCGCUGUGUUCGGUGAUGACAUCGUUAGCUUGGGUCAUUCUGAGCUUUUUUUUAACUGUAAUUUAGUUAAAAGGGUCUUGUAGCGUCCAGCGAGCUAGCUGGCAGCGGUGUCGGGGGGGGGGGGGCGGACACAGGAGCCACUUUUGUUCCAGCUUCUGCUCCAAACACAACAUGCGGGGUCAAAGGUCGGCGAACAGGACUGGCUAACGGCGGCGGUGACGAGCGCUAACGGCGGGGCUUGUUUACAAUGUGCUUAAUGUUCCCAGAGGAGCCGCGUGAUCCCGGGAUCUGGACCGGGACUCGGACCUCGUCAUCGUCUGGUUCGCUCAUGUUUACGUUCUUGUCUGGAGCUAAACACGCCGUUAUUACCCGUUUACUGCCGCCGCCGCCGCCGCCUGUCUGACCACGACUCAGGUACCUGCGGGACAAACUCCUCGGAGCGCUCCGGGAACAGAACCAGGUUCCACUUAUGAGCGCUUGGCUGUUAACGGACUGACAGGCGGCGUCUGCUCAGCAUCAGCCGCGUCAACGUAACAGACGGCGGCGGCGGUGACGGCGGCGGCGGCGGUGACGCAACCCUGUCAGGAGGAUGUUAGCGUGCUUGAAGCUGUCAAGUCCAUCGCGGUCCAGGUCGAACCUUCGCCAGCAGCUCUUGAUGGAUAACACUCAAGUCCCGCCUCCUCUGCUCACUUCCUGUUAGCAUUUCGCUUGAUGCGAGGCAACGGUGAUGAUGAUUAAAACGCCUUCAGGCUAAGCUACGCUAGCUUAAUGGAAGAAAUCGGUUUGUUCUCAUUCGUUUAAUAUUACGGCCAUUUUUCAGGGUUAAAGUGACCGUUGACCUCAUCUUCACGUAAUCAGCGGCGCUAACGGCGCCGACGGUGUUUAUGUUCCGUCAUUAAAGUUGCGUGUUUAUGUUUCUGCAGAAUUUAUGUUUCCUGUCAGCGGGCUAACAAACGACUACGUUGGUUAUUUGUUCACGGACAAAGACAAUAACUCACGUCGACAUCCGUCACUUUGUUUUCUCUACGCAGAUGCUAAUCGCUUUAGCUUUGGCGCAACCGUCAUGUUAACGACCAGAACAAUCAGAUCGCGUAAGCUAGCCAAGGCGGCGCCGGAGUCAAACGUCACGUCAGGAAUCGACGCGUCUUUAAAACCAGAACGCUCGCUGUUCCUAACGGCUAACAGCUAACGGCUAACUGACACAGCCAAACUCACUGUUUGGUGGAUUAACUGUUUAAUCUGAU
ensembl:lncRNA